rnacentral:lncRNA from 1 species
AAGCAACCACAUGAUUUGGGUUUGAUUUUUCAAAAAAAUAGUUUGAAUUUCAACUCAUUUUCAAGCAACCAACACCAAUUUACAUCUACAAAUUAAAAGUUCUAUGUAUAUGACUCCAUUGCGUUUCAAUCGAUGGCGACUGCGGGUGAUUAAGCUUCGAUCGACGGCGAGGGUGGGUGAUUGGGCUUCGAUAGAUGGCGAUGGCGA